rnacentral:misc_RNA from 1 species
GAAAUGCGAUAAGUAGUAUGAAUUGCAGAAUUCAGUGAAUCAUCGAAUCUUUGAACGCACAUUGCGCCCCUUGGUAUUCCAUGGGGCAUGCCUGUUCGAGCGUCAUUUGUACCCUCAAGCUCUGCUUGGUGUUGGGUGUUUGUCCCGUCUCCGCGCGUGGACUCGCCCCAAAGUGAUUGGCAGCCGGCGUACUGGUCCCGGAGCGCAGCACAUGUCGCGCAAACGAGUGCCUUGGUACGGCGGCGUCCAUAAGCCCCUCUCUCACGCUCUUGACCUCGGAUCAGGUAGGGAUACCCGCUGAACUUAAGC